rnacentral:lncRNA from 1 species
CAGAGAAGCAAAAAUAUAAAUCAAUUUAUUAAGAAAGAACUAAAAAAUCUAGCACUGUGAACUCAAUAAUCCAUCUAAAUUUCAGAAAAAAUUAACAAUAACAAAUAGCGUAAAUUAAAUUGGAAAAUUAUAUACCUUUCUUAAUUAAUAACAUAUAAAUUACACACAACUGUCAAUUUCACAAACUCAAAAUUAGAUCUGUACACAUAAAAAGAUGAAAAAAAUCACAGCUAGAUGAAAAACCCGUUGGGAAUCGAACAAGAUGACUUGAAGAAAGUUAGAACACAACCCACUAUAUCUUUUGAUUAGAAAUCACAACAAGAUGAAGGAAGCCAAUGCACAUCGCAGCACGAUGAAGAAAUUGUAGUGUAGUCGUCUCUUUUGCCUCUUUUUUACUAUCUCAAGAAAUAAAAUGGAAAGCAAAGAAAUUGAAGUAAAGAAUGUAGAAGAAAAUGGGAAGGCAAAGAAAAAUGUAAUUUUUCCAACACACACGUCUUAUGUCCAUAUUAAGCUAAAGCAUCCCACUACCCAACAUACAAUGGGCCCAACAUGUUGAAAAAUUGAAAGCAAUUACUUGUAUGAUAUGAAAACCUUUUGACGUGAUUUAAUUGAAAAUUGGGAAGACAAUUAUGCCCUCCUUCUAGUAAUUAAUUUGCCAAAAUUACC